CGCGGUGGCGGCGGGCGGUGGCAGGAGGGUUGUCGGUGCCGUCAGCGGUGGCGGUAUCGGCGGGUUCUGAGGAGUGGAAGUUGAUGGUGUCGCAGGCGGUGACGCAGCGGCGGAACCGCUCGGAGACGAUGUCCAUGUUAGGUAAGUGUCGAGCCUCAAUGAUUUUGAGGUCGAGGUCGCCGUGGAGGUACAUGAAGCCAUUGCCGUUACCGGUUUCCGCCAUGAAGGAGGCAGUGUUUUAGUGGAAGUUGAUGGUGUCGCAGGCGGUGACGCAGCGGCGGAACCGCUCGGAGACGAUGUCCAUGUUAGGUAAGUGUCGAGCCUCAAUGAUUUUGAGGUCGAGGUCGCCGUGGAGGUACAUGAAGCCAUUGCCGUUACCGGUUUCCGCCAUGAAGGAGGCAGUGUUCCCGUGCGGGCGAGUGUAGAAUAUGAAAGGGUGCACGGAAGAGAAGAGAGAAUAAAGAGAGGGUUCUUGAAGUUUGGAAUGGCUUUGGCUUGGGAGAG
rnacentral:lncRNA from 1 species